CUAAAAUAUUAGACAUUAAUCAAUUAGGUCCCUAAACUAUAAUGUCUACAUGAUAAGGCCCUACAUUUUAAUAUAAUGACUAAUUUUAAGGUAUGAGGUGUCACAAACAAAUUGGUCAGAUAGCGCAACAACUUGCAAAACGUCCACACGGGACAUUGCCUGGCAAUACAAUGAUAAAUCCUAAGGAACCGGUCCUGACAAUUAUAGUAAAGAAUGAUCCGCCUAGGACCUCGUAAAAGUUAAAGAAUAUGUACCCCCACUUCCUCGAUGGAACAAAAUAUUCAUGUCAUUACUACAAAGAGUGAUGUACAAUUGCCAGAGAUUACUGUAAAGAGACCCGAAAGAAAAUAUGACCACGAAGUGAUUGAUAAAGCUACAAAGAUAGAAAAAUCUUACCAGCCAAAACUGAAAAUGGAGAAAGUACAGAAAUAAUAGUUGUCAAAGUACCAAGUCUAGUUAAAGCAUACGUGCCCCCAUUCUUUUUCCUCAAAGGCUUAAGAAGAACAAACGAGGUACAAAUUAUGAAAAUUUUCUUGAUGUUCUCAAGAAGUUUCAGAUCAAUAUUUCGUUCAUUAAUGCGACUGCAAAUUCCAAGCUCCGUGAAAUUUUUGAAAGAGAUGUUGAUAAAUAAAAGAAAGCUUCCGCAAUUUGAAAUUGUGGCAUUAACUGAGGAAAGUAGUGCAAGAGCUCUAAACAAGUUACUUCCCAAGUUGAAGGAUAAAGGAAGUUUUACUUUACCAAUUUCAAAUGGAAAUUCUUGUUCUAUUAAUUCAUUAUGUGACACAAAUGCUAGUAUCAAUCUAAUGUCAUAUUCUGUUUACAGAAAAUUGGAACUAGGUAAAGUCAAUUCAACAUCAAUAACGGUACAACUAGCUUAUAUAACAAUCACAAGGCCACGUGGCAAAGUUGAGGAUGUACAUAUUUCCUGUGGACUUCAUUGUGUAGGACAUACCAGAAGAUCGAGCAUUCAAGUUAUAUUGAAUCGGUCAUUCUUAGCAAUGGGACGCCUAAUUGACAUAGAGAAGGGUGAGCUAAUAUUGAAGGUGGAGGACAAGCAAAAUAUAUUCAAAAUUUACACCCAAUAUGAGCAACCUCCUAACAUCAAAAGUUGUUGUACAGUAGAUGAAGAAGAGCCACCUGAUCAACGAGGUUGCCAGAAUAAAAAAUUGAACUUUGAUGAACUUCUUGAUAGGGAUGAAAAUAGAAAUAUCAAAAUGUGAAAAGCCAAAAAAAGGUGUACAUAAUGAGAAUUGCACAAAGUGUAAGGAUGAAAUAAUUUAGUUCGAGCCACCAUAAUCAAUCAUGGCACAAAAUCCAACUAACGACUUUAAAGAGAAGCUUCUUGGGAGGCAACCUAAAUUUUCUUCUUUUAUUUAUUUUAUUUUCAAGUUAUAGGAUAAUUUAGUUUAUUUAUUAGUCUAUUUAGGAGUCAUCACUCAUAUCCUGUGUACCCUUUGGUCAUUGAGUAACUAAGUUGAUUAAUAGAUGUUUGAACUAAGUAAAACUUGUUCCAUAUAUCUAAUAUCUCAAAUUUGAAUUUUUAGGGACAUGACGUAGCGAAACACUCAAACCAACAUUGACAAGGAGAACACGGGAUAAAUCUCAAGUGGGGGUGAAUGUAAAAGAAGAUUCGAUCAAAUUUAACACCAAUGCACCACAACAUCAUAGGCGAUAUUAACAUUUUAGGGAAGCCUCCUCCUUUUUUGUUAAAUUUCAAAUUGAGGAUAAUAUUUAGUUUAAGUUUGGAAGGGUGUAUUAUUAAUUGCCUACCUAAAUUUUUGUAUGAGUUGGACAAUUUGGCUUACAAUUACGUUUUACUUUGAGAUUUUGUGUUGAUUUAUGAAUUGUGGAUAGAAUGCAUGCUAAAUUGAUUGAACCUUGACCUUGUAAGACUUGAUAUUAUACGUACGCUAAAAUAUGAUAAAACGAGUUGAUUCAUUUGUUAGAUAU
rnacentral:lncRNA from 1 species